ACACAUGUGGCACAUGACAUGGCAACCUAUGUCAUCUGAGGUGUGAAAUUCUUUUAUUUAUAUAACAAAUUAUGUAAUUAAAAUAAAUGAGGUGGCAGAUGACAUAGGUUGCCAUGUCAUGUGCCACAUGUGU
rnacentral:miRNA from 1 species